CCUACGGGUGGCAGCAGUGGGGAAUAUUGGGCAAUGGAGGAAACUCUGACCCAGCAACGCCGCGUGAAUGAUGAAGGUCUUCGGAUUGUAAAGCUCUUUUCUAAGGGAAGAAGAAAGCGACGGUACCUUAGGAAUAAGCCUCGGCUAACUACGUGCCAGCAGCCGCGGUAAUACGGAGGAGGCGAGCGUUAUCCGGAAUGACUGGGGGUAAAGGGUGCGUAGGUGGUUUGGCAAGUUAGUGGCGGAACUCCAGGGGUCAACCUUGGAACUACUACUGAAACUGUUGGACUUGAGUGCAGGAGGGGCAAGCGGAAUUCCUGGUGUAGCGGUGGAAUGCGUAGAUAUCAGGAGGAACACCAGUGGCGAAGGCGGGUUGCUGGACUGUAACUGACACUGAGGCACGAAAGCGUGGGGAGCAAACAGGAUUAGAUACCCGAGUAGUC
rnacentral:rRNA from 1 species